rnacentral:rRNA from 1 species
GAUGAACGCUGGCGGCGUGCCUAAUACAUGCCAGUCGAGCGAACAGACGAGGAGCUUGCUCCUCUGACGUUAGCGGCGGACGGGUGAGUAACACGUGGACAACCUACCUAUAAGACUGGGAUAACUUCGGGAAACCGGAGCUAAUACCGGAUAAUAUAUUGAACCGCAUGGUUCAAUAGUGAAAGACGGUUUUGCUGUCACUUAUAGAUGGAUCCGCGCCGCAUUAGCUAGUUGGUAAGGUAACGGCUUACCAAGGCAACGAUGCGUAGCCGACCUGAGAGGGUGAUCGGCCACACUGGAACUGAGACACGGUCCAGACUCCUACGGGAGGCAGCAGUAGGGAAUCUUCCGCAAUGGGCGAAAGCCUGACGGAGCAACGCCGCGUGAGUGAUGAAGGUCUUCGGAUCGUAAAACUCUGUUAUCAGGGAAGAACAAAUGUGUAAGUAACUAUGCACGUCUUGACGGUACCUAAUCAGAAAGCCACGGCUAACUACGUG